AUUGAACGCUGGCGGCAUGCCUUACACAUGCAAGUCGAACGGCAGCGGACCUUCGGGUGCCGGCGAGUGGCGAACGGGUGAGUAAUAUAUCGGAACGUACCUUUCAGUGGGGGAUAACGUAGCGAAAGUUACGCUAAUACCGCAUAUUCUGUGAGCAGGAAAGCAGGGGAUCGCAAGACCUUGCGCUGAUUGAGCGGCCGAUAUCAGAUUAGCUAGUUGGUGAGGUAAAGGCUCACCAAGGCGACGAUCUGUAGCGGGUCUGAGAGGAUGAUCCGCCACACUGGAACUGAGACACGGUCCAGACUCCUACGGGAGGCAGCAGUGGGGAAUUUUGGACAAUGGGCGCAAGCCUGAUCCAGCCAUGCCGCGUGAGUGAAGAAAGCCUUCGGUUGUAAAGACUCUUUCGGUCCGGGAACGGAAAUACGCACGGGUUAAGU
rnacentral:rRNA from 1 species